CGCGCGUGCGCCCGAGCGCGGCCCGGUGGUCCCUCCCGGACAGGCGUUCGUGCAAUGUGUG
ensembl:miRNA